rnacentral:rRNA from 1 species
GAUUAGUGGCGAACGGGUGAGUAACACGUGAGCAACCUGCCCCUGACUCUGGGAUAAGCGCUGGAAACGGCGUCUAAUACUGGAUACGAGUAGCGAUCGCAUGGUCAGCUACUGGAAAGAUUUUUUGGUUGGGGAUGGGCUCGCGGCCUAUCAGCUUGUUGGUGAGGUAAUGGCUCACCAAGGCGUCGACGGGUAGCCGGCCUGAGAGGGUGACCGGCCACACUGGGACUGAGACACGGCCCAGACUCCUACGGGAGGCAGCAGUGGGGAAUAUUGCACAAUGGGCGGAAGCCUGAUGCAGCAACGCCGCGUGAGGGAUGACGGCCUUCGGGUUGUAAACCUCUUUUAGCAGGGAAGAAGCGAGAGUGACGGUACCUGCAGAAAAAGCGCCGGCUAACUACGUGCCAGCAGCCGCGGUAAUACGUAGGGCGCAAGCGUUAUCCGGAAUUAUUGGGCGUAAAGAGCUCGUAGGCGGUUUGUCGCGUCUGCUGUGAAAUCCCGAGGCUCAACCUCGGGCCUGCAGUGGGUACGGGCAGACUAGAGUGCGGUAGGGGAGAUUGGAAUUCCUGGUGUAGCGGUGGAAUGCGCAGAUAUCAGGAGGAACACCGAUGGCGAAGGCAGAUCUCUGGGCCGUAACUGACGCUGAGGAGCGAAAGGGUG